rnacentral:rRNA from 1 species
AUGAACGCUGGCGGCGUGCCUAAUACCUGCAAGUCGAGCGAACGGACGAGAAGCUUGCUUCUCUGAUGUUAGCGGCGGACGGGUGAGUAACACGUGGAUAACCUACCUAUAAGACUGGGAUAACUUCGGGAAACCGGAGCUAAUACCGGAUAAUAUUUUGAACCGCAUGGUUCAAAAGUGAAAGACGGUCUUGCUGUCACUUAUAGAUGGAUCCGCGCUGCAUUAGCUAGUUGGUAAGGUAACGGCUUACCAAGGCAACGAUGCAUAGCCGACCUGAGAGGGUGAUCGGCCACACUGGAACUGAGACACGGUCCAGACUCCUACGGGAGGCAGCAGUAGGGAAUCUUCCGCAAUGGGCGAAAGCCUGACGGAGCAACGCCGCGUGAGUGAUGAAGGUCUUCGGAUCGUAAAACUCUGUUAUUAGGGAAGAACAUAUGUGUAAGUAACUGUGCACAUCUUGACGGUACCUAAUCAGAAAGCCACGGCUAACUACGUA